UGCAUCGAUGAAGAACGCAGCCAGUUGCGAUAAGUAGUGUGAAUUGCAGAAUUCAGUGAAUCAUCGAAUCUUUGAACGCAAAUUGCGCUUUCCGGAUAUCCGGGGAGCAUGCCUGUCUGAGCGUCGUUUAAUAAUCUACACACCUCGGUGUGGGUAGGGAGUUCAUGUGACCUGUUUUUUCAGGACACCUGUCUCUCGAUGUGUCUGAACCUUGCUCGUACUUGCUUAUGUACUUGCUUGGAAGGUUCAACUUGCUUCUGUCCUUCUAAAGUACAGUUUGACAACACUUCUGAUUGUUCACUUUCGGUUCUAACCGAAAACUUCUGUCUUUGACCUCAGAUCAGACAAGACUACCCGCUGAAUUUAAGCAUAUCAAUAAGCGGAGGA
rnacentral:rRNA from 1 species